UUAAGAGUCUGCACUGAGAGGUAGUGCAACUCACACCUCACCCUUGCCUAUAUGUGUACCUUCUGUUGUUUCCUCGGUGUCCUCAGCACCGAACGGAAGCCCAUCAAACCUCUUGCAAUCAGUAUUAUACCUGAGUGAAACCUAAAUUUUUA
rnacentral:misc_RNA from 1 species